rnacentral:rRNA from 1 species
GGGAGGCAGCAGUGGGGAAUUUUGCGCAAUGGGCGAAAGCCUGACGCAGCAACGCCGCGUGGAGGAUGAAGGCCUUCGGGUCGUAAACUCCUGUCGAUGGGGACGAAAGCCUCGCAAGAGGUUUGACUGUACCCGUCGAGGAAGCCACGGCUAACUCCGUGCCAGCAGCCGCGGUAAUACGGGGGUGGCAAGCGUUGUUCGGAAUUACUGGGCGUAAAGGGCGCGUAGACGGCCUGACAAGUCAGAUGUGAAAGCCCCGGGCUUAACUCGGGAACUGCAUCUGAAACUGUCUGGCUUGAGUUCUGGAGGGGAUGGUGGAAUUCCCAGUGUAGCGGUGAAAUGCGUAGAUAUUGGGAGGAACACCUGCGGCGAAGGCGGCCAUCUGGACAGAAACUGACGCUGAGGCGCGAAAGCUAGGGUAGCAAACGGGAUUAGAUACCCCAGUA